CGUUAUGGCGGCUGUGUGUGGGCAGACUUCGGUCUGGCCGGGUUUUUCUAUUUUUUUACCGGUUUCUCACCCCGCACAUAGCUGCCACCCCU
rnacentral:antisense_RNA from 1 species